AGACCGGGGCUGGUUGGCGCCCCGGGUUGGUUGACGCACUAAGAUUUACUUACAACUAAAAUACUUGAGAACAUCGCAAUCAGCGGUGUCCGAAGCAUUUCGAUGACCACCACUCACAAACGUUACUCUUAGUUUGAGAUCAGUAGUGAUAGAGUGUACACGGCACAUUUUUCGUUUUUUGGCGUGCAAAAUGCGUAUCUAUAAAAUAAUGUCCGAGAAGGGAAAAACCCCACCAGAUGUUAUGCUAAGGGCAGUCAGAGAGAUAAAAGGAACCUGAUGACGUUUCUCUUUUUGAAAACAAACUUGAUUGUCAAAUAAACUGUUCUAAAAGUUCCAUUCAAGAGGAGAAUAAGAACUCACCUCCUAUCACUCCAUUAAAAUUAAAGCCUUUACCAAAAGCUGCAGCUAGAAAGGAACAACCUAAAAAUAAUAAAAGAAAGCGUCAUACAGCAAUCUUGACAGAUACGCCUGUAAAAAAUGCUCUUGAGGAGGAACAAAAUAAUACAAAAACUGCCAAAAGAAGGAUUGGUUCAAAAAAAGAAACAAAGGCCAAAAACAAAAAAA
rnacentral:lncRNA from 1 species